UUUUAGGUAGAGACAGGGUUUCACCAUGUUGGCCAGGCUGGUCUUGAACUCCUGACCUCAGGUGAUCUGCUUGCCUCGGCCUCCCAAAAUCCUGGGAUUAUAGGCGUGAGCCACCGUGUCCAGCGCCAGUUAGAGGAAAAGCCCAAUAUCUAAAUGCUUAUAUGAAAUCUGAUUUCAUAAUGUUGGAUCAAAUUUUAUCAUGUUGAGUCAAGUGCUGAACAAAGGUGACCACAGUUGGCAGCUGUUUUAUGGGCAGCAUGGCGCUAGCAAGGCUCUCUGAGCAGAGACAACAUGGACGCUUUCUCUUUCUCUUCCUCUUCUCUGCCUCCACCUCUUGCUUCCCCCCUCCCUGCCUCCUCUGAGGUGAGGUUCUCUCCAGCAGCCAUGGCAAGAAUGCUUUUGAAUGGAGCGGAGGGUAGCACAAGGCAGGUAAGGUAGACAUCACCUAAUUGCAGGAAAGCCAGGUAGAAUGUUCUGGUCACAGUCAGGAUUUGAUUGCUUGUGAGUUGGAAUUAAGGCAAUAACAGUGAGGAUGGAAAGGUGGGCUGAAUGCUGGAAUGAUUUCUCAGGUGGAAUCACGGGACUGGCUCCUGAUUGGAUAAGGCCACAGGUGGGUGUUAGGAAAGGGAGUGAUUUUGCGUGAGUCAAAGUCACCAUCUGGGAUCUUGGCAGCUGAACCUACUCCACAGGGGUGUUCUGUUGAACAGAAGGGAUUAAAAUUUCUUUCGAAUCGGUUUUCAGUUCUUAAGAAAAUGGAACUUCAGAAUCAACCAAAGUAGGAGAAGAACCACUCUGGAGAGUGUUAGCAUGAGAUAAGCCAGCCAGCCAACUGCUUAUGAGGAUGAGGAGAAGCUGGGACAAAAUUUAAGGAUGUCCCAAAGGCUGGGUGGCCUUGAGUCCGUGAAAGUGAACACAGAUGUUCUAUCUCAGGCCGAGGUCAUCUGCGUCCUCAUCAGUAAGCUAACCCAGCACUCUUCACCUGCCAGACACCGCGCCUACGUGCCAUAAAUACGUGUCUCGUUUAUUCUCAGCAAUUUUCUGAGACAAGUGCUGUUGGCAUUCCCAUUCCACAGAGAAACUAAGGCUCUGAGAAAAAGUAAUUUGCUCAAGACGGCCUUGGAUCAUGGGUGUGAAUCAUCUGGGUGAAAGACGAGGCCAAAUUCUAAGUUCACGUUUACAACACUUGGAAAUUACCAUUUCAGGCUGGGCGCGGUGGAUCACACCUGUAAUCCCAGCAUUUUGGGAGGCCGAGGCGGGUGGAUCUCGAGGUUAGGAGAUCG